rnacentral:rRNA from 1 species
GCGGAUGGGUGAGUAACGCGUGGGCAACCUGCCUCGAAGACCGGGAUAACAGUUCGAAAGGGCUGCUAAUACCGGAUGUGGUCAAGUGUCAGCAUGGGCAUUUGAUUAAAGGGGAAACCCGUUUCGAGAUGGGCCCGCGUCCUAUCAGCUAGUUGGUGAGGUAAAGGCUCACCAAGGCAAUGACGGGUAGCCGGCCUGAGAGGGUGACCGGCCACACUGGAACUGAGACACGGUCCAGACUCCUACGGGGGGCAGCAGUGGGGA